AUGGAUCUCAUUAACUCCGGCCCCCUAUCUCGGUCGGUACACAUUUGGAAAGUUAAGAUCCCUUUGCGUAUUAAAAUUUUCAUGUGGUUUGUUCAUAAGCAAGUGAUACUCACCAAGGACAACCUAAUUAAGAGGCGAUGGGUAGGUUCUUCGCGGUGCUGUUUUUGUGAUCAUGACGAAACAAUACAACAUUUAUUUAUUGAAUGCCCACUUGCCAAAUUACUUUGGAGAACGAUUCAUAUAGCUUUUAAUAUUAAUCCACCAGUCGAUAUUGCGUCUUUGUUUGGGACGUGGUUAGCUGGGGUGGAGAAAAUAACUGCGGUCCGUAUUCGGAUUGGAAUAUGCGCGCUAUUAUGGGCUAUAUGGAACUGCAGGAAUGAUAUGAUUUUUAAUAGACAACACACUUUAACUUUUUUGCAGGUUAUCUUCAGGGCUAUGGCUUGGAUCCGUACGUGGUCCUUACUCACUCCUAUGGACUCCAGGGAGCCUUUGGUUACUGGGUGCAACCAAUGGGAGAUGGUAGCUCGGGUUAUCUUCAACCGGUUCGGAUGGCGCUCGCAUAACAGGAUAGGAGUCUAG
rnacentral:rRNA from 1 species